AACGAACGCUGGCGGCAGGCUUAACACAUGCAAGUCGAACGCCCCGCAAGGGGAGUGGCAGACGGGUGAGUAACGCGUGGGAACAUACCCUUUUCUACGGAAUAGCUCUGGGAAACUGGAAUUAAUACCGUAUACGCCCUACGGGGGAACGAUUUAUCGGGGAAGGAUUGGCCCGCGUUGGAUUAGCUAGUUGGUGGGGUAAAGGCCUACCAAGGCGACGAUCCAUAGCUGGUCUGAGAGGAUGAUCAGCCACAUUGGGACUGAGACACGGCCCAAACUCCUACGGGAGGCAGCAGUGGGGAAUAUUGGGCAAGGGGCGCAAGCCUGAUCCAGCCAUGCCGCGUGAGUGAUGAAGGCCUUAGGGUUGUAAAGCUCUUUCACCGAUGAAGAUAAUGACGGUAGUCGGAGAAGAAGCCCCGGCUAACUUCGUG
rnacentral:rRNA from 1 species